rnacentral:rRNA from 1 species
GACGAGGGUGCCAAGCGUUGUUCGGAAUCAUUGGGCGUAAAGCGGGUGUAGGUGGCUCUAUAAGUCAGAAGUGAAAGCCCCGGGCUUAACCCGGGAAGUGCUUUUGAUACUGCAGAGCUUGAAUGUGGGAGAGGGUAGUGGAAUUCCAGGUGUAGUGGUGAAAUACGUAGAUAUCUGGAGGAACACCGGUGGCGAAGGCGGCUACCUGGCCCAACAUUGACACUGAGACCGAAGACGUGGGAU